UCACUGUCAGCAUUUUGGACAAAGCCAUUC
rnacentral:piRNA from 1 species